GAUGAUGCCAGCUUGCUGGUGGAUUAGUGGCGAACGGGUGAGUAACACGUGAGUAACCUGCCCUUAACUCUGGGAUAAGCCUGGGAAACUGGGUCUAAUACCGGAUAUGACCUUCCAUCGCAUGGUGGUUGGUGGAAAGCUUUUUGUGGUUUUGGAUGGACUCGCGGCCUAUCAGCUUGUUGGUGAGGUAAUGGCUUACCAAGGCGACGACGGGUAGCCGGCCUGAGAGGGUGACCGGCCACACUGGGACUGAGACACGGCCCAGACUCCUACGGGAGGCAGCAGUGGGGAAUAUUGCACAAUGGGCGCAAGCCUGAUGCAGCGACGCCGCGUGAGGGAUGACGGCCUUCGGGUUGUAAACCUCUUUCAGUAGGGAAGAAGCGAAAGUGACGGUACCUGCAGAAGAAGCGCCGGCUAACUACGUGCCAGCAGCCGCGGUAAUACGUAGGGCGCAAGCGUUAUCCGGAAUUAUUGGGCGUAAAGAGCUCGUAGGCGGUUUGUCGCGUCUGCCGUGAAAGUCCGGGGCUCAACUCCGGAUCUGCGGUGGGUACGGGCAGACUAGAGUGAUGUAGGGGAGACUGGAAUUCCUGGUGUAGCGGUGAAAUGCGCAGAUAUCAGGAGGAACACCGAUGGCGAAGGCAGGUCUCUGGGCAUUAACUGACGCUGAGGAGCGAAAGCAUGGGGAGCGAACAGGAUUAGAUACCCU
rnacentral:rRNA from 1 species